rnacentral:rRNA from 1 species
CUCGAUUGCGACCCCAGGUCAGGCG